UGGGGAAUAUUGCACAAUGGGCGCAAGCCUGAUGCAGCCAUGCCGCGUGUAUGAAGAAGGCCUUCGGGUUGUAAAGUACUUUCAGCGGGGAGGAAGGCGAUAAGGUUAAUAACCUUGUCGAUUGACGUUACCCGCAGAAGAAGCACCGGCUAACUCCGUGCCAGCAGCCGCGGUAAUACGGAGGGUGCAAGCGUUAAUCGGAAUUACUGGGCGUAAAGCGCACGCAGGCGGUCUGUCAAGUCGGAUGUGAAAUCCCCGGGCUCAACCUGGGAACUGCAUUCGAAACUGGCAGGCUAGAGUCUUGUAGAGGGGGGUAGAAUUCCAGGUGUAGCGGUGAAAUGCGUAGAGAUCUGGAGGAAUACCGGUGGCGAAGGCGGCCCCCUGGACAAAGACUGACACUGAGAAGCGAAAGCAUGGGUAGCGAACA
rnacentral:rRNA from 1 species